CUGUUUUCCCCCAAAUUUCUGUAGAUUUUGGUUUUGAAAGCUGCCGUAUUCACAAUCUUUUGCCGGAUCUUUCCAUAUCAAAAGCAAAGGAAGACAAGUUUCUUCAAGUUCAUGGUGAGAAUGUGGCUGCUCUAUCCACAUCUACAGCUCGGCGACUUGCUAUACACCAUAAUGCCUUAAGUGAGUACACUUCCUUAAAAUCUUCCACUCCAAGGGUCACGUAAAUUAGAGGAGUGUACAGUGAAGAAAAGAGCUAUGCCAAAUCUUUUACAUUUUUGAAUCAAUUACUGCCAGCAAUUGAAGAAGCUUCCGAAAGGAUUACAUUACCUGAAGACCCUCAAGAAAUUGGCGUUGUGGAAUAUGCCUUCAUUAUUCAAAGCAAGGCUCCAACCACAGGGAGUGGAUUGGUCUAAGACUCUGCACAUACCCUCCGUUGACAUAAACUAUAUGGCGUAAUUCUUAGCACUUGCACACACUUCCUCUCUUUGGGAGAGCUACAUUAUAUUCUAAUUUUUGGCUGUUCAUAGAGAAUGUUGAUAAAGAUCCCGCAAAAGAUUGUGAAUACAGCAGCUUUUAAUGUACAUGGCAAUUUGAUUUUCAUCCACAAACCAAACUCAUCCUUUAUGUUCUUAUACUCAAUCAAACAGAUCAAGAAAACUAAACAAAUAGGUUAUCAGCCCUCAGGUAACACAUCUCGCUGUUGACCAUUGACCCAAGUCGCUAGUCAUGCCCAAAAAUAUUUCCUAAGACAGAUUAGCCUCAACAAGAAGAAGUGUCAAUCCAGCCUCUUCGACAUGGUUGGUAACAACAACAUUUCAGUUCCAAGUAUUGAUUCCAAGCCCAAAGAUUCUCUCUCAACUGAAUUUCCUGUUCCGACUCUGUAUUCUUACAGAACAUGCUGCAAAGUUCAUGAAAAUAUCCCUCAGGUCGAUCUUAAUUCAUUCGAACAAGAAACCAAAUUGGGAAACCAACGAACCAAGCAUCUUCAAUUUACAUAAUUUUUUUAUACACUAAAAUGUCUUGGAACAUUUUCAUACCUUUCCUGAUUAUGGAAAUCAUGAACUUUCUUAGAACUCAUAUGUUCCUGCUAUAAAAAUAAAUAAAUAAAUAAACAAAAAAAAACCAUAUCUUAGGUGAGAUCCACAUGAUGGGCAUCCAUUUCCUCAAACGUUAAAUGGGCAAUUAAGAUCAUUUGACAAAGAUACAUUUUAUCAAACAUUAAAUGAGAUCCACUUGCAUUUGCUCAUUUUCAGUUCUAGUCCAGCAGUGCAGAAUGCCAGCAGCAUCAAUGGUGGAUCAGUUCUGUUCGGUUUCACCCGUUUCAGUAGGCCAGGUAAGGUUUGUUUUAUGGUUGUUUGUAUCUUGGUAGAUCAGGUUGAAUGUUGGAAUUCGCGUUCAUGUUUUCAAGAAGAAACUAAAAGUACAACAACCAAUAGGCACAUGGCAACCCAGAAACAACUAUCUAGAUGUCCAAUCUCUCACAAGUUAGAUUUUUUAUCCAACUGAUUCGAGUCCAUGUUUUCAAGUUUUCUAACCAUAUUUGAAGCAACAUAAGGGAUGCAAUGGUAGUAUCAAUGUAUUGUAUUGCCCAGGGGGCUAAUGUCAUCAUUUUCAUUUGAAGCCUUUUCUGCCACCCCACUCUACCAAGUGGCGGAUGUGAUAUGCCAAAAUAAAUAAAGAUCAUGUUUUCCUUAAAUUUCCAACGUUUUCUAUUUUUCGACAAAAUUUCUGCUUGAUUGUGACAUAUGGUUUGAAUAGUGGGAAUUCUGGGUCGGCCCUUCUGUCAGAAUUUCUGCCAGUGAUGAGUUGUGGGUGGCCUGCUACAUCCUUGAGGUAUCUGCCAGAGAUGAAUUUCUGCAGAGAUUGUUGGAGUUGUUCUUUCAAUUGAUCCAAAACCGAUCCAGGUCUGUUCAAAAUCAUCUUUGAAAUUCCACUCACUUGAACCCAACAAUCAAGUGAAUCUGCUUCAUUUAGAUCUCUAUGUAUUUGUAUUAAAUUUCUAUUACUGUGUAUGCAUUUCUUAUUUCCUUAUGGCUUUUGGUGCUGGUUAUUUUGAGCCAAGCUAGCUUAACUUGUGCUAGGUACCUUGUGCACUAAGAGCCACGUGGGUCACAAAUCAGGAGUAGUCAUCAUCCCUUAUUGUCAAACAACGAUAGUUUCUUAUGAUUUACGAUCUGAUUUUUGAUUUGACUAUUAAAUAUUUUUUCAGAACAUUGGUCAUAUAAACUCUGUUUUUAGUUUGACAACAGCUCUAUGCCAUACUUAUCUCAAUUGCAGUAGUCUUUUGGCCACAAGAUAUCAUAUCCAGACUGUUGAUUGUUCCUUUCAGUUUAUUGGAUGAUGAACGGUCACAAAUCAGGACCAGCUAUCAUCCCUGAUUGUAAAAAAGAAAAAGAAUAGUGCCCUGUGAUCUAUGAUCUGAUUUUGUGAUUUGAUUAUUCAACUUUUCUUGAAAGAUUGGUCAUGGAAACUCUAUCUUGAUCUUCACAAUGUUUCAAUAGAAAGUCUUUUACCUACUGGAUAUCAAAUCUUAUAUAUAUUACCGACAUUUACUUAUAUUAGUUUUGUCACUCCACUAACAAAACAGUCGGUGUUUGAGAUUUUUGUCUUUUAUUUUUUAUUAUUGCAUUUCUGUCAUUUAUUGUUGGAUGAAUGAAUGGAAAUUAUGGAUCUAAAACCAUUACUAAAAGACACUUCUGAGAAAAGGAUCCACUUUCUAAGGUUUUGAAUGGCUGGAAAUGUUCAUUGUUUUCCAAUAUACAAUAGACUGUAGAUUCAAAUGUGGAAAAUGAAACUAGUCAGUUUUGACAGGAUGCCCUUGAACUAGAAUCACACUGAUUUAGAGAUGAUGAGGAGAUUUACAUAGACCAGGUUGACAAGGUGAUUUGUGGCUUAUAUGUGCUGGUUAGGCCCCUCCAUCGAGUGGAGACCACUGCAAACCUGUCUUCGGCCAACCCUAAUUUGGUGUUGAUGUGUGGCACUAUUCCUAACUCACAUAACAGUUUGGCUUGAAGAAUUGACA